UACAGAGGUCUCAAGCGUUGUUCGGAUUCAUUGGGCGUAAAGGGUGCGUAGGCGGCGCGGUAAGUCGGGUGUGAAAUCUCGGAGCUUAACUCCGAAACUGCAUUCGAUACUGCGGUGCUUGAGGACUGGAGAGGAGACUGGAAUUCAUGGUGUAGCAGUUGAAAUGCGUAGAGAUCAUGAGGAAGACCAGUGGCGAAGGCGGGUCUCUGGACAGUUCCUGACACUGAGACACGAAGGCCAGGGGAGCAAACGGG
rnacentral:rRNA from 1 species